rnacentral:lncRNA from 1 species
CAAGAAUUAUCAUUGAAAUUCCUACCUAUUCUGAGAAUUUCUAUACAUAUUGAUAUCUAGUAUUAUGUACAUGCUGUGUUAUGAUGUGAUACUUCCAUCGGAUCUUUGAAGGUAAUUGGGUUCCACAGGGGAGGUGCUCUCUGGCAAAAACAAACAUGCAAAGUAGAUUUCAUCCAUUUUUAAUCAAAAAGUUAUUUGCAGAAAUGGAUAGCGGACUAAAUUUAUGAUAUUCUCCGUGUCAGGAAGCUUAACAUUACCUGGGGUAUGCAGACCACGUAGGGUACAAUGUCACUCCUCACAAGUGUGAAAGUUUGCUUCUGGGGCCCUCAUUCACCUCACUGUGCUAACCCUCCAGUGGCAUUCUUUCCUCCUCCAAAUUUCAGACUAGAGGUUUCUCAGACUAGAGGAAUAGAAGGCAGAAUGUGGGACACCCUCAGUCCGCCAAAGAGUCUGCCCCAUGGAAAGAGCGAUCAAGGUCUGUGCCACGGAGUGCAGCUGCAAGCCGCAAGAGAAAUAGCACCUUGCAGCCCUUGUCCUUUGAAGCAGAAGGGAACACCUUAGGAAGACGGAGCACACUUCGGAAGCUCAAAGAUGCCGCGCGUCAAGCUGGCAAGAGAAGAUUCUGAACUGCCGUCCUUUUCCCUUCCAUCCACAGUGGCGUCUGUCACAUAGAACCGGGGAGUAACUUACUGGCCUUGGCAGGGCCCUUUCUUGCCACUCCUCUAAUGCUUAGGAUUAAGUCGAUAAAGACAUCGUAACGGUUGUUCUCUGCAAAAACUACCCGUAACAUUGUUCCUUCUACAAGCAGACAAGCCCAACACAUGCCUGCCGGUCAAAUUGUGGGUAGGAGUUGGUUUGUUAGUGGGAGAGAAUUUGAUGUUUUCGAAAGAACGGUAGCAUUUUCGCCUUGUUUUGGGGAGCAGAGUGGUAUUUUGGGGGAGAAGCUGUCAUAUUGUCGGGAGAGAGAACUGGCAUUUUGGUGGAGAAAAUGCCACGUACUGGGGAGCAAAGGGGAGGAGAUUGUCCUAGUCUGGGGAGAAGAGAGGUCUUUUGGGAAGC